rnacentral:rRNA from 1 species
GACAGAGGGUGCAAACGUUGUUCGGAAUUACUGGGCGUAAAGCGCGUGUAGGCUGCUCGGAAAGUCGGAUGUGAAAGCCCUGGGCUCAACCUAGGAAGUGCAUUCGAAACUUCCGAGCUGGAGUGCUGGAGAGGAAGGCGGAAUUCUCGGUGUAGAGGUGAAAUUCGUAGAUAUCGAGAGGAACAUCAGUGGCGAAGGCGGCCUUCUGGACAGCAACUGACGCUGAGACGCGAAAGCGUGGGGAGCAAACAGG